rnacentral:hammerhead_ribozyme from 1 species
GUACCGAUGAAGAGUCCCAAACUAGGAUGAAACAGCUGUCCAGUAU